AAAAAAGAAGAAGAAGUUUCCAUUAAGCCCAGGCAGCAAUCUGCUCCCGCCCCCCCCCGGGGAGGCUCACAGGCCAGUGAGGAGGAGAGAACAAGUCCCCAGGGAAACAAAGGACAAGACAAUUGCAGAAGUGAGUGUGGAGCAGGGGCCAGCAGCAGGGGUGACUGUAGGUUCCCUCCCUCAGGAGCCAGAGGCGGCCACGGAAGGACUGGCAUCCGCACCCGGGUGGCCAGCGUCUGCCCGAUGGGUAUCAGCACCAGGGAUCUAUGAUGAUGCUUGAGAAAUCAGAUAGGAAGCCAUCAUCAGGCCACAACUGACCAGAUCUAAGAGGCAACCGACCCCUUUAGAUGUGUUAAGGAUAAACUGGGCUAUAUUGAGCUUU